AUACUUACCUGGCAGGGGAGAUAACCAUGAUCACGAAGGUGGUUUUCGCAGGACGAGGCUUAUCCAUCGCACUCCAGAUGUGCUGACCCCUGUGAUUUCCCCAAAUGUGGGAAACUUGACCUCAUAAUUUGUGGUAGUGGGGGACUGCGUUUGUGCUUUUCCCUG
rnacentral:snRNA from 1 species